ACUACCCUUCGGAACACAAUACCCUCGGGAAACUGAGGCUAAUAGUGUAUACCACAGUCCACCUGGAAUGAGGACUGUGCCAAACGCUCCGGCGCCGAAGGAUGUGGCUGCGGCCGAUUAGGUAGACGGUGGGGUAACGGCCCACCGUGCCAAUAAUCGGUACGGGUCAUGAGAGUGAGAACCCGGAGACGGAAUCUGAGACAAGAUUCCGGGCCCUACGGGGCGCAGCAGGCGCGAAACCUUUACACUGCACGACAGUGCGAUAAGGGAAUCCCAAGUGCGUAGGCAUAGAGCCUACGCUUUUGUCCACCCUAGGGCGGUGGACGAAUAAGGGCUGGGCAAGACCGGUGCCAGCCGCCGCGGUAAUACCGGCAGCCCAAGUGAUGGCCGAUUUUAUUGGGCCUAAAGCGUCCGUAGCUGGCCGCACAAGUCCAUCGGAAAAUCCACCCGCUCAACGGGUGGGCGUCCGGUGGAAACUGUGUGGCUUGGGACCGGAAGGCGCGACGGGUACGUCCGGGGUAGGAGUGAAAUCCCGUAAUCCUGGACGGACCGCCGAUGGCGAAAGCACGUCGCGAGAACGGAUCCGACAGUGAGGGACGAAAGCUAGGGUCUCGAACCGGAUUAGAUACCCGGGUAGUCCUAGCCGUAAACAAUGCCU
rnacentral:rRNA from 1 species